GCCUAGCCAUAAACUUUAAUAGAAAUCAACUAACUAUUCGCCAGAAUACUACAAGCAAAACGCUUGAAACUCAAAGGACUUGGUGGUGUCCCAUAUCGUCCUAGAGGAGCCUGUCCUAUAAUCGAUACUCCACGAUAAACCUUACCAUUUUUGGCCACUCCAGCCUAUAUACCGCCGUCGCCAGCCUACCCCAUGAGGGCUCAUCAGUAGGCAAAAUUGUUUUCACACAAAAACGUCAGGUCAAGGUGUAGCUUAUAAAAUGGGAGAGAUGGGCUACAUUUUCUAAAUUAGAAAAUACGAACAAUACAAUGAAACCUUGUAUUAGAAGGAGGAUUUAGCAGUAAAAUAAACAGAAAAAUUAUUUUAAAAAAGCU
rnacentral:rRNA from 1 species